GAGUUGUGUGGAAGGAAAGUUAGCAUUGCCCUUGACAGAGAUAAGGUCUCAGAUCCACCCAACACAUGCAUGGUUCAGGCUUUGCUACCAGCUUCUAAUUACU
rnacentral:ncRNA from 1 species